rnacentral:piRNA from 1 species
UCCCACUGCUUUCUAGACACAUGGUUAUGGU